AAGCCAUGGUGUGGUUGUCUUUGAAGUUCCUUGAACCUUUCCCAAGCUGCAUAAAUUGUUUCACCCAUGUUUUGCUUGAAUUUUGUGAUCUUAUUACGAAACUU